CACGUAGGGCGCAAGCGUUGUCCGGAAUUAUUGGGCGUAAAGAGCUCGUAGGCGGUCUGUUGCGUCUGCUGUGAAAACCCGGGGCUUAACCCCUGGCUUGCAGUGGAUACGGACAGACUAGAGGUAGGUAGGGGAGAAUGGAAUUCCCGGUGUAGCGGUGAAAUGCGCAGAUAUCGGGAGGAACACCGGUGGCGAAGGCGGUUCUCUGGGCCAUAACUGACGCUGAGAAGCGAAAGCAUGGGGAGCGAACAGG
rnacentral:rRNA from 1 species